GACGAACGCUGGCGGCGUGCUUAACACAUGCAAGUCGAACGGAAAGGCCCUGCUUUUGUGGGGUGCUUGAGGGGCGAACGGGUGAGUAACACGUGAGUAACCUGCCCCUUACUUUGGGAUAACUUCAGGUAACGGGGGCUAAUACCGGAUAGGAGCUCCUGCUGCAUGGUGGGGGUUGGAAAGUGUCGGCGGUUGGGGAUGGACUCGCGGCUUAUCAGCUUGUUGGGGGGGUAGUGGCUUACCAAGGCUCUGGCGGGUAGCCGGCCUGGGAGGGUGACCGGCCAAAUUGGGACUGGGUUAGGGCCAGGACUCCUACGGGGGGAAGCGGUGGGAAAUAUUGCACAAUGGGCGGAGGCCGGAGGCAGCAACGCCGGGUGGGGAAUGACGGCCUUCGGGUUGUAACCCGCUUUCGCCUGUGACGAGGCGUGAGUGACGGUAAUGGGUAAAGAAGCACCGGCUAACUACGUG
rnacentral:rRNA from 1 species